UACGUAGGGGGCAAGCGUUGUCCGGAUUUAUUGGGCGUAAAGAGCGUGUAGGCGGCUUGGUAGGUCCGCUGUGAAAACUCGAGGCUCAACCUCGAGAUGUCGGCGGAAACCACUUGGCUAGAGUCCGGAAGAGGAGAGUGGAAUUCCUGGUGUAGCGGUGAAAUGCGCAGAUAUCAGGAAGAACACCGGUGGCGAAAGCGCUCUGCUAGGCCGCAACUGACACUGAGGGACGAAAGCUAGGGGAGCGAAUGGG
rnacentral:rRNA from 1 species